GACGAACGCUGGCGGCGUGCUUAACACAUGCAAGUCGAACGGAAAGGCCCUGCUUUUGUGGGGUGCUCGAGUGGCGAACGGGUGAGUAACACGUGAGUAACCUGCCCUUGACUUUGGGAUAACUUCAGGAAACUGGGGCUAAUACCGGAUAGGAGCUCCUGCUGCAUGGUGGGGGUUGGAAAGUUUCGGCGGUUGGGGAUGGACUCGCGGCUUAUCAGCUUGUUGGUGGGGUAGUGGCUUACCAAGGCUUUGACGGGUAGCCGGCCUGAGAGGGUGACCGGCCACAUUGGGACUGAGCUACGGCCCCGACUCCUACGGGAGGCAGCAGUGGGGAAUAUUGCACAAUGGGCGGAAGCCUGAUGCAGCAACGCCGCGUGCGGGAUGACGGCCUUCGGGUUGUAAACCGCUUUCGCCUGUGACGAAGCGUGAGUGACGGUAAUGGGUAAAGAAGCACCGGCUAACUACGUG
rnacentral:rRNA from 1 species